AGAGAAAACCAGUGGAAGAAUUUUCCAUUUACGAGCUGGAGAAAGCACCUAGAAACCUUGCUUUGGUUGUUGUUGGUGAAUGCAGCUACCACCCCUCAUUAACCAAGCCUGCCUUUUUAGCAAAUGGAGACCAUCACGGAAAAUCAUGACUGGAGAUCCACAGAUCCUGGGACAUCCAGCCCCAACAGAAACAUCUGCAACACAGCUUCUGUGUCUAUGGCUCAAGGAACAUCAUUGAAGAAGGAAUGGAAAGCCUCUGAGAGCCACAGUACCAGGAAGUAUGAUAGAAUCAAUCUCUCCUAGAAUUGGCUGCAUAAGCAAGACCAGAGCACCGCAUUAUCAAUGGGCAUGCUAACAUGGAACAGGGAAGUUUUUACAGACUCCCGUUCCUACAAAGGGCUAAAGGCAGCAAAUGACUCCUGGUAGAGGAAUUAGCCUCUCGUGUGGAUGAGUGUUCUUGUCCAAUGCAGAGAAGUCAUCCCUGAA
rnacentral:lncRNA from 1 species